CAUAAGAUUUAGCGGUGGCAGAUGGCAGUUGCAUUAGCAAACAUUCGGUUCUCUCUCCUCUAUUCUUCCCUCAGGACUGAGGAAGGCCUGGCCUUGGCUCACAGCUGAGUCACACUGCAGUGGUAACCUCUCCAGCAAAGCCUGAGGAGAGAAUGUCAAACCACCGGAAGAUCUCAGUCAUGUGGGCUUUCCGGUUCCCUGGUGGCAACAGAUCCCUCCAUUGUGGGAUGAAAAAUUAUAGUAGCUCUGAAUGACAUCGUCCUCCUCCAAUGACAGUGGCAUUUUCAGUUUCAUGGAAAACAUGCAAUAACUUUGGACCUCAGUUUCUUCAUCCGUGAAUGGUCCUAAUGUUCAAUCUGACUAAAGCAAAGACUGGACAUGAAUAACCAAUUUUCAAAAACUUGAAAUCAUCCAGCACCUACCUGUCAGGGAAGACAGAAGCAGCUACCUUGAUUACCAUCUCAGCAUACCUAUCUACGCAUGCACUGAGUCUUGAUGCAUGAAGAAGAGCACUUCAAGGUCAUAUUCUUGAACUCCCUCCAGCUUAUUCUCAUAAGAAGAAACAACAAUGCUUCCUCUCUUACAAGAAAGCUUUUUCAGAGAGAGAUGCUUAACUUUUGGAGAGGAGGUUGCAAUUUCUCUAAGCAGCUGAAGACUUCUUUGAGUUUCGAAGGCUGGUCUCAGAUUCUGAAUAACGCCAAAGCCUUCUGGUACCUCAAAUGUCUAAGAAACAGAAAAGUGGAAAGUCAGAGGCAAGGAGUUUCUGCCACAGGAGAGCUUGGGUCUACUGCUCAUUCUAAGACAAACCUGGGUUUUACAAGACGGAGAGAAUCUUUGGUCCAAGGAUAUUCGCUUCAAGGAUAA
ensembl:lincRNA